AGAGUUUGAUCAUGGCUCAGAGCGAACGCUGGCGGCAGGCCUAACACAUGCAAGUCGAACGAACUCUUCGGAGUUAGUGGCGGACGGGUGAGUAACACGUGGGAACGUGCCUUUAGGUUCGGAAUAACUCAGGGAAACUUGUGCUAAUACCGAAUGUGCCCUUCGGGGGAAAGAUUUAUCGCCUUUAGAGCGGCCCGCGUCUGAUUAGCUUGUUGGUGGGGUAAUGGCCCACCAAGGCGACGAUCAGUAGCUGGUCUGAGAGGAUGACCAGCCACAUUGGGACUGAGACACGGCCCAAACUCCUACGGGAGGCAGCAGUGGGGAAUCUUGCGCAAUGGGCGAAAGCCUGACGCAGCCAUGCCGCGUGGAUGAUGAAGGUCUUAGGAUUGUAAAAUCCUUUCACCGGUGAAGAUAAUGACUGUAGCCGGAGAAGAAGCCCCGGCUAACUUCGUGCCAGCAUCCGCGGUAAUACGAAGGGGGCUAGCGUUGCUCGGAAUUACUGGGCGUAAAGGGAGCGUGGGCGGACAUUUAAGUCAGGGGUGAAAUCCCGAGGCUCAACCUCGGAACUGCCUUUGAUACUGGAUGUCUUGAGUGUGAGAGAGGUGAGUGGAACUCCGAGUGUAGAGGUGAAAUUCGUAGAUAUUCGGAAGAACACCAGUGGCGAAGGCGACUCACUGGCUCAUUACUGACGCUGAGGCUCGAAAGCGUGGGGAGCAAACAGGAUUAGAUACCCUGGUAGUCCACGCCGUAAACGAUGAUUGCUAGUUGUCGGGGAGCUUGCUCUUCGGUGACGCAGCUAACGCAUUAAGCAAUCCGCCUGGGGAGUACGGUCGCAAGAUUAAAACUCAAGGAAUUGACGG
rnacentral:rRNA from 1 species